rnacentral:rRNA from 1 species
UUAAAUUGAGAGUUUGAUCCUGGCUCAGGACGAACGCUGGCGGCGUGCCUAAUACAUGCAAGUCGAACGAAACUUUCUUACACCGAAUGCUUGCAUUCACCGUAAGAAGUUGAGUGGCGGACGGGUGAGUAACACGUGGGUAACCUGCCUAAAAGAAGGGGAUAACACUUGGAAACAGGUGCUAAUACCGUAUAUCUCUAAGGAUCGCAUGAUCCUUAGAUGAAAGAUGGUUCUGCUAUCGCUUUUAGAUGGACCUGCGGCGUAUUAACUAGUUGGUGGGGUAACGGCCUACCAAGGUGAUGAUACGUAGCCGAACUGA